UCUUUCUCUUUAUAAAGUGCUUUCUUUGGAAACAAAGCCGAGGAAAACGAAGGCCGUGAAUCCAACAGCCAAGCCGACAACUGAGUGGUCAUAAAACGCGACUCUUUAUUCGUUAUUGUAAUAGGAAGCCCUUGUCAUUGCUAAUUGAGUCUGUUCACCGUAGCUAGAGGAUUGUGAAGAAGACGUGGAAUGACCAAUAAUUGAGACAGAGAAUGUCCCAUUCGUGGAUCUAUCUAGCGCCAUUCAUGGACCUCAACUUUUUUCCUUGCGUGUCGUUCAGGUAUGCAGACGGAAAUCGGGAUGACAAAUGGAUCCAGGAGGAAGAAAAAAGAAAUGGUCCUUUUGUAGGCAAGACCUUUACUUCAGAUCAGUAGCAAGGCGAAGGACACUUCGAUUAAGUUCGAAAUCAGGAUGGUCCUGAAGAGAAUUGGGACCGAAAUGUAUGCUCAAAGCCCGCCGAGAAGACCAUCUUUACGUGUGUUGUAGUUCCAAUGAGCCUUAUGCCUCUGCUUCUCCUCUGCCUUUUCUGCUUCUGAAAGGCCAAAGAGUCCUUUUGAUAUGCUCCUCAGAAAGGAGGCUUUAAGGCCUUUUCCUCUUUACCGCUCUCUUCAAUCCAACUCCAAGCUAGCUGGAAAGUGGCCAAAGCUGCUUGGGCUUGGGAUCCUGCAGACCCCUCCACAGGGUGUCCCAUAACUCCCAAUUCCAUCAGUUGUUCCAUAUCAACUAUUCAGCGCUAUUACCACUCACACGAGCUCACUUUCACCACCGCUAAUACUACCGCCCAAUAUCUAAUUAUUGGUACAAAUAUCAGUGGAUGAGUGGCCCCAAGGUCGGAAGACUAGAGCUCAGUGCUUUAAUCACUUCUCAAGGUGAAGCUGAGAUGGACCUGAGGAACUAACCCAAUGAUGGAAGCGUGAAACGUCCGGCCAUCUGUACGAAUGGGAAUCCCCACUGAGUACAAGACCAAUUUGAGUAAUGCAACGGAGGAAUGUGUUGUCCUCUGUCCUCACAUUAAGGAGAGAUGUGUUCCCCCGCAUCAACACUCAUGGCAGAUGUUCCCACGACAUUUCUCGAAAGAUGACACAGCCUCAUAUAGACGACUCUCUUGUCCCACUUCCUUCCGUUCUUCAGGAGCGACUUUCUCAAUGGCGUUUCGGAUUGGGGACUCAAAAUUGAGUUUCGAUUACGCACAACAAAACACUUGCAAAGGCAUGCAUGCAUGCAUGCAUACGGUGUAGAUUGACUCGUAGAGUGUAGUGUACAUACUCAAAGAGACACAAUGUGACGCGACAUUCAUCUUCAUUAGUCAUCGUCGGUCCUUGAGCCUUGGGACAACUUUCAGCAAGCCUUUCAUUUUUCAACGAAAUCCAAGCUGAAUUGGAGGACAGCAAUAUUUUGUGGCUUCUCAAAAUUCGAUUGAUUCAAGUCCAAUAGAUUUGUUUCCAAGAUGUUGCCGAAUCAAUCCGCCAGGGAUAAAAAAUAAAAGACAUUAAAA